GUCUCUGUGGCGCAAUGGUUAGCGUGUUCUGCUGUAAACCGAAAGGAUGGUGUUUCGAGCCCACCCAGGGACG
rnacentral:tRNA from 1 species